GACGAACGCUGGCGGCGUGCUUAACACAUGCAAGUCGAACGGAAAGGCCCUGCUUUUGUGGGGUGCUCGAGUGGCGAACGGGUGAGUAACACGUGAGUAACCUGCCCUUGACUUUGGGAUAACUUCAGGAAACUGGGGCUAAUACCGGAUAGGAGCUCCUGCUGCAUGGUGGGGGUUGGAAAGUUUCGGCGGUUGGGGAUGGACUCGCGGCUUAUCAGCUUGUUGGUGGGGUAGUGGCUUACCAAGGCUUUGACGGGUAGCCGGCCUGAGAGGGUGACCGGCCACAUUGGGACUGAGAUACGGCCCAGACUCCUACGGGAGGCAGCAGUGGGGAAUAUUGCACAAUGGGCGGAAGCCGGAUGCAGCAACGCCGCGUGCGGGAUGACGGCCUUCGGGUUGUAAACCGCUUUCGCCUGUGACGAAGCGUGAGUGACGGUAAUGGGUAAAGAAGCACCGGCUAACUACGAG
rnacentral:rRNA from 1 species